CCUACGGGUGGCAGCAGUGAGGAAUAUUGGUCAAUGGCCGGAAGGCUGAACCAGCCAAGCCGCGUGAAGGACGAAGGUGCCAAGCAUUGUAAACUUCUUUUGUCAAGGGACAAAAUCAGGCUCGAGAGCCUGACCGAGGGUACUUGAAGAAAAAGCAUCGGCUAAUUCCGUGCCAGCAGCCGCGGUAAUACGGAGGAUGCGAGCGUUGUCCGGAUUUAUUGGGUUUAAAGGGUGCGUAGGCGGAAGGUAAAGUUAGCGGUAAAAGGUCGGUGCUAAACACCGGCCUGCCGUUGAAACUGGUGUGCUUGAGUGAGCGGGAAGCAUGCGGAAUGCGUGGUGUAGCGGUGAAAUGCAUAGAUAUCACGCAGAACUCCGAUUGCGAAGGCAGCAUACUGGCGCUCAACUGACGCUGAGGCACGAAAGCGUGGGGAGCGAACAGGAUUAGAUACCCCUGUAGUC
rnacentral:rRNA from 1 species